UAGGCGUGGGGGCACCCUGACCGCAAUGCCGCGUGAGUGAAGAAGGCCUUCGGGUUGUAAAGCUCUUUUGUCAGGGAAGAAACAGCAGCUCUAACACAGUCUGCGAAUGACGGUACCUGAAGAAUAAGCACCGGCUAACUACGUGCCAGCAGCCGCGGUAAUACGUAGGGUGCGAGCGUUAAUCGGAAUUACUGGGCGUAAAGCGUGCGCAGGCGGUUAUACAAGACAGGCGUGAAAUCCCCGGGCUUAACCUGGGAAUGGCGCCUGUGACUGUAUAGCUAGAGUGUGUCAGAGGGGGGUAGAAUUCCACGUGUAGCAGUGAAAUGCGUAGAUAUGUGGAGGAAUACCAAUGGCGAAGGCAGCCCCCUGGGAUAACACUGACGCUCAUGCACGAAA
rnacentral:rRNA from 1 species